GUCAACCGCCCAACGGCUGAGGAGUGCGGCAGCGCGCCAGAGACUGGCGGGCAGCUCCGCCCGCGGCCGGGAUGCACUAGGCAAAGCCAGCUGGGCUCCUGAGUCCGGUGGGUACUUGGAGAACUUACUACGUCUAGCUGGAGGAUUGUAAAUGCACCAAUCAGCAUGCUGUGUCUAGCUCAAGAACUCAAGCUCCAUGAGGAGAUGUUUCAUUGUCGAGAGCAGUCAUGAUGGCCUGCACUCCACACAAUGCAACAGAGUGAAAGAGCAGGUUCUGCUUCUUUGGUGUAGUCCUGAAGCUUCCUAAGAAACUUCACAUCAGGUGAUGGAUAGGAGCAACCCUGUAAAACCAGCCUUAGACUAUUUUUCAAACAGGCUGGUGAAUUACCAGAUCUCCGUCAAGUGCAGUAACCAGUUCAAGUUGGAAGUGUGUCUUUUGAAUGCAGAAAACAAAGUCGUGGACAACCAGGCUGGGACCCAGGGCCAGCUGAAGGUGCUGGGUGCCAACCUCUGGUGGCCGUACCUGAUGCACGAACACCCCGCCUCCCUGUACUCGUGGGAGGAUGGUGAUUGCUCACACCAAAGCCUUGGACCCCUCCCAGCCUGUGACCUUUGUGACCAACUCCACCUACGCAGCAGACAAGGGGGCUCUGUAUGUGGAUGUGAUCCGUGUGAACAGCUACUACUCUUGGUAUCGCAACUACGGGCACCUGGAGUUGAUUCAGCUGCAGCUGGCCGCCCAGUUUGAGAAUUGGUGUAAGACAUCACAAUCCCAUUAUUCAGAGCGCGUAUGGAGUGGAAACGCUUGUAAGGCUUCACCAGUCUUUCCCAGGGAACUCCGAUGAAGUGUUCCAACAAAAUGAGCGAGUGAACCAAGAAGAGGAUGACAUUAGAUCCAGGAGAUACAACAGAGGAGAUAAUCUCCAGGAUGCCUGUGAAGAAAGAUCCCUGGAUCCCAGGAUGAUUAUAGGACAAGUUGUUCAUAAUCCAGCAGGCCAGAAGACUUCCAGGGAAACUCAUUCAAGGAGGUGAAAAUGAUGGAUGACUCCUCCAAGAUGAAAAUGGACCAGCCGCAGUGGCUCACGCCUGUAAUACCAGCACUUUGGGAGGCUGAGGCAGGCGGAUCACUUGAGGUCAGGAGUUUGAAACUAGCCUGGCCAACGUGGCAAAACUCCAUCUCUAUUAAAAAUACAAAAAUUAGCCAGGCAUAGUGGUGCAUGCCUGUAGUCCCAGCUACUUGGGAUGCUGAGGCAGGAAGAAUUGCUUGAACCUGGGAGGCAGAGUCUGCAGUGAGCCGAGAUCAUGCCACUGCACUCCAGCCUGGGUGACAGAGCCAGACUCCGUCUCAAAAAAAAAA
rnacentral:lncRNA from 1 species